AUGUGUAGCUCAGCAUAGAGAUAAACAUAUAUUUAGAGAGAAAACAGGAGAAAAAGAGAUGUUCACACACAUAUGCACUGCUGACAUGAUGAUUCUACCUUGCCUAAGACUACAGGCAGCUGCAAGGGGAAAAUGGAUGUGAAAAAGAUGUUGAAUCUGUUGUCAUUGAAAGGACUGAUCUUAUAAGAUGUCUCGAAUCCUCCUCUCCCAUAGAUACUGUCACAGAAGCAGGUGCUUGGCAUCUCUCAGGAUCAAACCCUAAAAUGCUAGUUGCCAUGGUGAUUGAAUGUGAAAGAACAAUGAAGAGCUGUUUACCGCGGAAACUUAUCAGCAAGGCUCGACAAAGCACCACAAAACUGUAAUUAGGGUUGCGUUGAAACAGCUUUAUUUCUGCAACUAAAACUAGGCAACAGUCUUUGCCUUUGAUUUCUUCCCGAUAUUAUCCCUUGCACAUCCCUUGCAUCCCUUGUGUAAGAUCCCACCCAAACUCUAAGUAGAUUAUAGCAGAGUAGGCAAAAAUUAGCAUUUUGAAAAAUCCAUUAAAAACAAGACUGCAAAACUGCAUGCAAAUGACUGUAUGAAAAAUGAUGCUUUGA